AUUAGCAUGUUUGGGAUCCACUACUGGAUGGUUAACAGCAGCUUUUGUAACUGUACGCCGACCAUAUCCAAUUAUGCUCUGCUAAAAAUGAACUCUUUGCAGACCAACCCUCUCGGCUGUCAGUGUUUUCCGUUUUCCUAUUUUAACGUUUGUGUAUAGUGGCAGGCGACAGAUGGUGUAGAUCAGAUCGAUUUGAUUGCAUUAGAUGAUUUUUUCCCUUCCCCACUCCUUUCUGGAAGCUCGCAUCAGCUGAAGGCUAUCGCCUGGGACUCCUCGGAAGCAUGAGCAAGCCGCCACCACGCGAAGGCACUGGGGCACAGCCAGCGCCAGGCGCCGAGGUCCCUUCCCAGGGCUUGUUAACACUGUAACCCGGCACUCGGAGAGAAGAAGCAGCUCCCACUGCCCAGAGCCUACCUCACUGCACAUCAGAUGACUCCUGGCUUCUACACACAGUUGGAGUCCCGCUUGAAACCUGGAUUUAGAGGGGUUCUCUGGCUGCCAUGGCACUCAAUCAAACCACCUAGAGUGGACUGGCCGAGACCAGACUGGGUACCAAGCAGAGAAGUGCAGAGGAAGGCACUGGGAGAGCACCAGAAUUGGAAAUAGAGCGGCCAUUUGGAUUUGGGCAGGAAGCAGCCGAGCACAGCUUUGGAUCCUUCUUUAGGGAAAUCGAGUUAUGGAUUUAUGGUCCCGGUCAAGCUCAGCCCAUCCCCAGCCAGGGGCGGGCUCAGCGAGCAGCAAGAGUUCUGGUGGCGGUGGCGGCGGCGGCGGCAGUAGCAGCGGCAGCGGUAGCAGCGGCAGCGGCAGCUUGGUCCUCUUGACUCUCUUCGGUGACGGGUAUUCUUGGGUGGAUAAUACGGAUUACGUUGUUAUUGCUUAAGAAUACGCGUAGUCGAGGAGAGUACCAGCGGCAGGGGGGCAGCGGCCGCCCUCCCCAGCCCACCAGCUGGCCACUAAACGCCCGUGGUUGCCAAGGCAUCCAAAGCCUCUGGGAUAUGUUCUGACUGUAAAAACUCUGAUGUUGUGAAAAAAGCUGAUGCUUUGCCUCCACUCAAACCAGAUGGUGUUUCACUCUUAUUGCCCACGCUGGAGUGCAAUGACAUGAUCUUGGUUCUCCACAGCCUCCGCGUCCGGGGUUCAGGCUAUUCCCCUGCCUCCGCCUCCCAAAAUGCUAGGAUUACAGGCAUGAGCCACCACAUCCGGCCAGCAUUCCCAAUUUUUAAAAAUGAAUGAUUGGCACAAAUCUUAGAAAGCCAUUUUCUGUAGAUUUGAAAGUAAUGUUAUUUACAAUGUGAAUACCUUCUUGCUAAAUCUUGCAUGUCUGUGGUAUGUGUUGUAAUAGAAACUUAAGAUCAUGGUCUGCCAUAUUCAUAUUUUAAAAAGAAAAUUUCAGACUGUAUAAUCAAUUGGUUGAUUAUUAAUAUUUGCUUGUACAAAGUUAAUAGUGUAACUUGUCAGAAAAGAAGGAAGCCUGAGAAGUAUUUUAAAUACAUUAAUAAGAGGGGUUCUAAGUGAAUUAAUUUUUGUUUUACCAUCUACAGAGUUCCUGCCGCAUUCUAGGCACUUCAUAUUUGCUGCAACAUUUAUUCUGACAUUGACAGAACAAGAGAAAAGAAGUUAAAUUUUAGGUACCAUGGAUUUAAGUUAAACACAAGGAAGAUAUUUUAUAGGACCAAUUGUUAAUCUGUAUUUAACAGGAUAUUCAUUUAUUUUGGGUGACAUAAGGAUGGCCCCUUCUGGAAACAGGAUUACCAACAUAUGGACCUAUUUAGGUCAAUUUCAACCUUGUGAUUUUGAAUCUGACAGGUUCUCAGCUGCUUUUAUUAAAUAACGGAUUUUCUUAAUAAUUAUAGUACUAAAACUCAGCAAAAAGCUAUCACUUUUUAUAGCCCAGUUUUUUAGUCACACAGUAUUGUGUCUUGUCAAACUGAAAUCAUAUACUAUACUCUUUACUUAUUAAGAGGGUCUUUUCUUUGUACUAAUUUUGGAGUAAAUAGUUUACUUAUCUAAACAUCUGAUUUCUGAUUUAAUAGAUUUCUGAAGCAUUUAUUUUCCUUAUAAUACAUAAAAAUUGUCAGUUGAGGACAAGGAAGGAAUAACCUGGACUACGGCAAAUAAUUGUGUCGGUUGCUUACUGUGUAACUCCAGAGGAGCUGGAGACUUUGCUCCUGGAGACUUUGCACAUGGUAGACUUUGCAGAUUUAGGUAUUACUACAACAAUUUUCUGGCAGAUAGCAGUGGAACACCUUGUUCUAUUAAAAUUAGUUUAUUAUGACAAAUUGCCUACAGAUGGACAUAAAGUGUCUUGAGGAAGGCACCUCCUUUGAACUGAAUUUUGUCCCCCAAAAAUCAUAUGUUGAAGCCUAAUCUCCAAUGUGAUGGUAUUUGGGGAUGGGGCCUUUGGGAGAUAACUAGGUUUAGAUGAGGUCGUGACUGUGGGGACUUCCUGAUUAGUACCCUGAAAAGAGAAGACACUAGAGAGCUGGCCCUCUGUCUCUCUUACCCCACAGGCACACAAAGAGUUCAUGUGAGUAUGCAGUGAGAUAACAACCAUCUGUGAGAAAACAGAAGAGGCUUCAGAAUGAAAUCUACUUUGCUGGUACUGUAGUCUUGGACAUUAUCCUCUAGAACUGUGAGAUAAUGAAAUUUAUCUUAUUU